AAAUGUAAUCCUGGUACUCUAAUUUUCAAUUAAGUGUAUCGAUUGGUAAUUCAGUAUUCGGCAUUAUAUAGGUUCUACCGAUUAUUUUAAAAUUUGAUUCGCCGAAUAAUUUUACCAUUAAACUGAUUUAUUUUAGACGUUCAAAUAUGUCUAAAUAAGUAUAACCCAGAUUAAUAACACUUAUAGCAUAAAAGAAAAUGAGGGCAUUGAGAUCGAAUCUUUUGUGAAUGAGAGAAGUGCAUUAAAUUUAAAGGCUCAUUUACAAAACUGAUAGGUGAAUAUUCUUUCUCUCAGCUCGAUCUCAAUGAUCUCAUCGUAUGAAGCUAAUCAGUUAGACAGUCAAAGAAUGGAAUAAUUCACUACUAUCAGUUUAAUUUUCCAUUUUAACAUUGAACAUCGUACAGCACUCAUUCACUCAUUGCGAAAUUGUUUGGAAAAUUUUCGAUACGUAAGGUUUAAAGUUUUCAAUAUUUUGUGAUUCUGAAUUCCGAUAUUUAUAUUCAAUAUUUCGAGAUUUCAAGACUUCAUGACUUGAAAACUGAAAAUCUAAACCAUUUUGUCGCAGGUUUAGCAACCCAAUGACGUACAAUUUCAACACCAGACGUUAAGCAAUCUGACGAAUAGCAGACAUAAUAGAAACACACCAUAAACCCCUCCCAUUAAAAUCAUAAAAAGAGGAGCAACCCAGUAAGACAUAUUAGCGUUUAACGCGGAGCUGCUUCUUAUAUCAUGUUAACUCACCGGGGACGUGCGCGGCUCCUGACACGUGACCGAGACGAGGAAAUCAUCAACACUCAGAUAAAACUGCUGACACAGUUCCGACCAUUUGUCAAGUCACUACUUCCGGCGUCCUGCUUAACGUGCGACAAGUGCAAAGCAAAGAAGCUGUUGGAUCAGGAGAAACAGUUUCAGGAUAUACUGAAGAAAGUGGGCGUGGGAGAGAAAAUGACGUCACACUCUGUUUUACCGGAUAUAAAAAGGUGCAAAAGCGCAGGGUCACAAAAGAAGAUCACCAAAGAGAGUAGGCUGAAUCCCCGAUUGGUGCUUCAGAAAACAAACCGACAGCGGCAAUCCAAAUCAGGUGCGUCGCAACUCUGAAUUUAUGCGGUGACUCAUGGCGGCUAAACGGUGGACAGUUAAUCACGUAAGGUAACGUGUCACCCUGGUAACGUGUCACCCUGGUAACGUGUCGCCCUGGUAACGUGAGGUGUGAUUGGAACGUCAAAUGAGUGCUAUAUGUUUGGCAGUUCGAUUGUUAAAGCUAAAUUUGGUUGCAUAAACCAUGGUACUGGUAGCUGCCAAGUUGACUUUUCACUUGUAAUACUUUUAUAGGGAUCCGGUACGGGGGCUAUAUUAUAAUUAUGUUAAUUAUGUUAUUAACAACAUUCGAUUGUUAAAGCUAAAUUUGGUUGCAUAAACCAUGGUACUGGUAGCUGCCAAGUUGACUUUUCACUUGUAAUACUUUUAUAGGGAGCCGGUACGUGGGCUAUAUUAUAAUUAUGUUAAUUAUGUUAUUAACAAUAACAUUUACGUCGACUUUUGGGCAAACCUGUCAUUAAUAUUUAUGAAAGCGAAGAUGUUUCAGGAUAUUUAUCCCUGCAUCGAUGCCUUUUUGGAAUACGAAAUAACUGACCUCAACAUUUUGAAAAAUUAUCUUAAAUUUGUUUGUCAAUUUGAUCAUAAACUUAAACGAAUGAAGAGGAACUUAAAUUGAUUUGAUUUAAUGUUAAAUUACCGAUUAAACUCAUAUUUAAUGAGUUAAUUUACCUUAUCGGACUUUAUUUGAACUGUCAUUAAUUGGACCCUGGAAGCCCUAAUGUUCAUUUUAUUGUCCGUUUAAAUAAAAUCCGACAAGGUAGUUAAAUUCGAUAUAUUAAAUGAAUGCCUUUGAAAUUUAA